UACGUAGGGUCCGAGCGUUGUCCGGAUUUAUUGGGCGUAAAGAGCGUGUAGGCGGCUAGAUAGGUCCGUUGUGAAAACUCGAGGCUCAACCUCGAGACGUCGAUGGAAACCAUCUGGCUAGAGUCCGGAAGAGGAGAGUGGAAUUCCUGGUGUAGCGGUGAAAUGCGCAGAUAUCAGGAGGAACACCAAUAGCGAAGGCAGCUCGCUGGGACGGUAUUGACGCUGAGGCGCGAAAGCGUGGGGAGCAAACAGG
rnacentral:rRNA from 1 species